rnacentral:rRNA from 1 species
AAGAGCUCAGAUUUGAAAUCGUGUUUCGGCACGAGUUGUAGAGUGUAGGCGGGAGUCUCUGUGGAGCGCGGUGUCCAAGUCCCUUGGAACAGGGUGCCUGAGAGGGUGAGAGCCCCGUAGGGUGCUGCGCGAAGCUUUUGAGGCCCUGCUGACGAGUCGAGUUGUUUGGGAAUGCAGCUCCAAGCGGGUGGUAAAUUCCAUCUAAGGCUAAAUAUUGGCGAGAGACCGAUAGCGAACAAGUACUGUGAAGGAAAGAUGAAAAGCACUUUGAAAAGAGAGUGAAACAGCACGUGAAAUUGUUGAAAGGGAAGGGUAUUGGGCUCGACAUGGGGGGUGCGCACCGCUGUCUCUUGUAGGCGGCGCUCUGGGCGCCCUCUGGGCCAGCAUCGGUUCCUGCUGCGGGAGAAGGGGCUCCGGAAAGUGGCUCUUCGGAGUGUUAUAGCCGGGGCCAGAUGCCGCGUGUGGGGACCGAGGACUGCGGCUUCUGUCUCGGAUGCUGGCAUAACGGCGCAAUACCGCCCGUCUUGAAACACGGACCCUGCAUAUCAAUAAGCGGAGGAAAAGCCGUCUUGAAACACGGACC